rnacentral:rRNA from 1 species
GAUGAACGCUAGCUACAGGCUUAACACAUGCAAGUCGAGGGGCAGCAUUAGGUAGCAAUACUGAGAUGGCGACCGGCGCACGGGUGCGUAACGCGUAUCCAACUUUCCCGUUACUCUGGGAUAGCCUUCCGAAAGGGAGAUUAAUACCGGAUGGUGUUGAAAAUUCGCAUGUUUUUUCAACUAAAGAUUUAUCGGUAACGGAUAGGGAUGCGUGACAUUAGGUAGAUGGCGGGGUAACGGCCCACCAUGCCUGCGAUGUCUAGGGGUUCUGAGAGGAAGGUCCCCCACACUGGAACUGAGACACGGUCAAGACUUCUACGGGAGGCAGCAGUGAGGAAUAUUGGUCAAUGGUCGGAAGACUGAAACAGCCAAGUAGCGUGAAGGAUGAAGGUUCUAUGGAUUGUAAACUUCUUUUAUAUAGGAAUAAAGCCCACUACGUGUAGUGGUUUGUAUGUACUAUAUGAAUAAGCAUCGGCUAACUCCGUGCCAGCCGCCGCAGUAACAC